rnacentral:rRNA from 1 species
GAUGAGCAUGCGUCCCAUUAGCUAGUUGGUAAGGUAACGGCUUACCAAGGCUACGAUGGGUAGGGGUCCUGAGAGGGAGAUCCCCCACACUGGUACUGAGACACGGACCAGACUCCUACGGGAGGCAGCAGUGAGGAAUAUUGGACAAUGGGCGCAAGCCUGAUCCAGCCAUGCCGCGUGCAGGAUGACGGUCCUAUGGAUUGUAAACUGCUUUUGUACGGGAAGAAACACUCCUUCGUGAAGGAGCUUGACGGUACCGUAAGAAUAAGGAUCGGCUAACUCCGUGCCAGCAGCCGCGGUAAUACGGAGGAUCCAAGCGUUAUCCGGAAUCAUUGGGUUUAAAGGGUCCGUAGGCGGUUUAGUAAGUCAGUGGUGAAAGCCCAUCGCUCAACGGUGGAACGGCCAUUGAUACUGCUAGACUUGAAUUAUUAGGAAGUAACUAGAAUAUGUAGUGUAGCGGUGAAAUGCUUAGAGAUUACAUGGAAUACCAAUUGCGAAGGCAGGUUACUACUAAUGGAUUGACGCUGAUGGACG